AAUCCAUCCCUUCCGUUCUCUGUUUCUCCUCCACGCACGCGACCCCUUCUCUCUUUCUUUACCUCUUGCGACCUCGAGCUCUACCAGCUGCCAGCCCGCGGAUCCUCCCUCCGUCGCCCAGGUCCACUACACUAAGACGGCCAUCUGGGUGAGGCCGGGCAGGGCAGUGGUUGGGAAGGUUGCUCAGGUCCGCCUUCGCCGCUAGGGUUACUGCGGCCGCCGCCCCAUCCCUGCUGGUGGCCUCCCUCAUGCGUCCCUGCGCCACUGCGUCCGCGUUCGCUGCUUCUCCCACGUCUUCUCUUCCCCAUUCUUCUCUCCUAGCUGAACUCAAACCCUGCGUCAUCCCCUCCUCCUUGACCCCUCUCCUCCUCUGAAGAAGGAGCACGGGGACUGAGCCGCCAUAAGGACGUCGGGUGGAGGAGAUUCGGUGCCGGUGGACCGCUCGCGCCGGUGUUCGAGGUCUUGGAGCCGCCGGAGUCACCGCCGCCGUACGGAGACUGUUCGAUGGAGGAUGAUGGUGUUGGGGUCAGUGAAGGGAAGGCGCCGCCAACGAGGAUGUGGAGGAGGACUUGGUCGAGCCGGGUCAAUGAAGGGUGCGGCGGUUGGCUCGCUGGCUAGGUGGCCGCACGAUGCAGGAGCAGCAGCGACUUUACAGUUCCUCUGCUCUGCUCCCACUGGCGCUCAUCUGCCUCCCGGCCUAUUCCGUGACACGGCCUGUGGGAGAUGGGACCGGUGGAUGCCAUACGUCCCCGGAUCGGAGUAGUAGGCGGUGAGGAUUGAUGCUGAUUCAGGUUGCAGCAACUUGAGAACUGAAUAAUAUGGAGCAAGGUUCAGACUUCAGACACCUCAUUGCAUGCCAUUCUCUUCAAGGUAGAUGAAAGGUUCAUCUCUUGUAUCAUGAAGAAACUUCAAAAGUAAACAGAGCAGAGCUAUUAUCUCAAGAAUAGAAGCUAGAUAAAUUAAUCCAUGAGUAUUUUCAUGCAUAUGCUUUUAUUGGUGUAUUUGGAGUGUUUAUGAUUGGCUGAGCCAUGUGAGAACUAUUCAACUUUUGGGGGUAUCAAAGUGAGCUCGGUCCUGAUAGAGGAAUUAUUCAGGAACAAAAGGUUAAUCCAAUUGGGUGAUAUAAUUCAUGGACCUGAUUUCUUUAACAUAUUUAAUGGGUAUGCUACUAUUUCUUCAACAGUCAUCCCAUGAACAUGAGAGCAGCACAAGAAAGAUGUGCUCGAGAGGUUCUUACAAGCCCUGUACAUGUCUCCAGCUAUUUUCUUACUUCUAUUACAACAAGGCUGUAGUGGAGAAAAGUGCUCAGCUAAUGUUCAUAACCAUUUAAUUUUUUGGGUACUUUUACAUGGCAUGUUUUUAUAAUGAUAUGGGCAUGUGGCUGUUUCACAUAGAAAGGGGCUCAUUUAUUCAUGGAACUUGUGGUGAUCCUUUGAUAUAUUAGCCAUCCUAUGUGAAUUCAGGUUUGGAGUUCUUCCUUUGUAUUCUACCCGAUGCUUGGAAUAUUGAUUGUUAGGCAUAGCUUAACCUCCACAGUUGCCUUCAUAUUCUUCUGCUGGUAAAACAUGGCAAAACACGCACCAUAGAAUGCAAGGAGAAGAUAGAUUUAUUUUUCUCUUCCUACUUUUGUUACAUAGGACACAUUAUUUUUGUUUCAGUCAUGCCUUUUUUGCUAAAGGUGGUGUUGUGUAAAUUCAACAUUGAUGUUUGUGUUAUGACAUGAUGUACACAAACUGAAAUUUUGAUCCCUUGGGAUGUUGCUGGUGCUGACAAUCUAAUAGCAAUGGAAUUGGCACUCAAAUUUGCAACCAAGAUUACAAUUGGCGAACAAUUUGCAAUUUAUGUAGUCACACCAAUGUGACCUUAAGGAGUCCCUACAUUAGUCUCUGCAAGAAAUUCUUUUCUUUCAGGAAAGCCCUAUAUUUUGUAAAAGCAUUAUAGCAAGUUAGCAACUAUUAGGGAACCCCAAGCCUAAGAUUUAUUGAGAUAUGGAAAUCUCAUUCGUUUUUGUACUUACAUUCUUCUCCCAGUGAAUAUAUUUCCAUUUGAGUUCAUAUUGGCAUGCUCUCUGAUGUGUAUGCUGUUUUUUUGGUUUUAAUACUUAGGGCUGCUCACGGUGCCGGUCGGCGCGCCCAUCCGCGUGUUCAAGAACCUCGGGCUGAUUCAUGCCAUGGCUGGAAAGUGGCUUGGCAACUACCAAAUUGGUACCCUGAGUUUUUAGGUUCAUAAUCAGUUGACUGAUCUUAAUGAGAGUGAUAUCUUAGUUAUGAAUGUUCUUUCCUGAUGUACAUGAAUGGCACUUUCUGGUUUGGCAAUGAUUGAUUUUUUUGGUCUCUUAAUAAGAGGUGUAUGAAUGUGAUUUAAAGAAACCAAAAAAUAUUUACUUAGUGCUAUUGUUUGUUGCUAUCGGUGAAGUUAUGUUAUAUUUUUAACCAUUAUGCACUGUCAACGUGUUAACAACUACGUAAGCUUGAUUAGUGCGUACAAUAACGCCUAGGAGGCGCCACCUGGUGGCGCCCCAGCCACUAGUAAUUAUCAAGACGCGAACCGGUACGCUUCCAGGGAAACGGAUGGCUAGGAUGUGCUCCAGUUAUGAAAGAUCAACGCCUCUAGAAGACCAAGGGCUCCCCUGUUCAGUGUCUCAGUGUCUGACAACGGCUGGGUAACAACGGCUACAGAUAACUGAAGUUUAACUGUUGUACACUUCAGUUAACUCUGUUUCACAAGAGUAAUCUGCACCAAGCGCCUGGGGUUGAUUUGGAGCCGCAGAUCCACGAGCUUAAUGCUACUUUCGAGGAGGCUGAUCAGGUAGGAGGGAUGGGACUCAGGAUGGGAAUGAGCCGACCUGGCCCUGUUGGCCUCGAGGCCAAUUUUGGAGGCCAUGGGCCGACGCAUUUCAAAAGAAGGCAGCGACCUCGCUAGCCCGAUGGGUAUCCCAGGUCGACCCAAGUUCUAGCUUUUAUAUAUUUUUCUGGCGGUUGGUUACACUUAAAACAUUCUCUAAAAAAUAAUUUAACUAUACAACAAAAUUAUAACCUGAGCAAGGAUGAUGAUAUGAAAUAUAUAAAGUUUACAGAGGAACCACAAAUCCAAUUUCAACACUUUUCACAUCUAAUUUAUAGAGACACAUCGAUCAAAUUGAUUCCAGUACGUGUAGUAAGCUAGCUGAUUCUUUCUUUUCUAAUUUACAAAGACGAAGCUAGCUCGCCUAGCACUAGCAGUACGUGUAAUAAGCUAGCUAGCUAAUUGGUAUUCUAAGUUUGCCGACGCAUGAUGGAUGUAUCGAUUUUUAUCGAUAUGGUGCACUCAACAGUACUGCUUGUGUCAAUUUCUCUAAACUUCCUGUCCCUGAACACACCUGAAGAAAUUGACACCUUUAUCUGAAGAAUUCGACAGCUACCAGAAAGACGGACGGCUAGGAUGCGCUCCGCUUGUGAAAGAUCAAUGCCCCUCGAAAACCAAGGGCUCCCCGUCUGACAAAGGCUACAGUUGACUGAAGUUUCUUUUCUGAAAAUACAGUCAAAUGAAGUUUAACUUCUGUAAGCUUCAGUUAACUCUCUUUUUUUGCGGGAGACAGUUAACUCUGUUCACUGCGUGUAACUUCAGUUAACCUUCUGCGAUUCGUUGAACGGGUUAUCAUCUUAUUCUCCAAGUAUUAUUAUCUGUAGCUACUGGUAAAACUAGAAACACACUCAUUGGUAGAUCAGAUUGAUCCCCGUGAACUGUGUCCAGUGACUUUAAUCUGGUUGUUUCCUUUUAUGUCUUUCAGUCCUUUGUUGUCGGUAAAUUAUUUGGCGUCGAGAAAAGGCCAUGGUGUUCCAAAUCACAGUCUGAUUCAUAAAUAAUAUUUUGUUGUUUCCUGAUGCUUUGGUUUACCUCGUAUGUUUGACUGGUUUAGUUUCAGCUAAAUCGAAUGAGUGCUCAAAUUUUUUA